CCUACGGGUGGCAGCAGUGGGGAAUAUUGCACAAUGGGCGCAAGCCUGAUGCAGCCAUGCCGCGUGUGAGAAGAAGGCCUUCGGGUUGUAAAGCACUUUCAGCGGGGAGGAAGGCGUUAAGGUUAAUAACCUUGGCGAUUGACGUUACCCGCAGAAGAAGCACCGGCUAACUCCGUGCCAGCAGCCGCGGUAAUACGGAGGGUGCAAGCGUUAAUCGGAAUUACUGGGCGUGAAGCGCACGCAGGCGGUCUGUCAAGUCGGAUGUGAAAUCCCCGGGCUCAACCUGGGAACUGCAUUCGAAACUGGCAGGCUAGAGUCUUGUAGAGGGGGGUAGAAUUCCAGGUGUAGCGGUGAAAUGCGUAGAGAUCUGGAGGAAUACCGGUGGCGAAGGCGGCCCCCUGGACAAAGACUGACGCUCAGGUGCGAAAGCGUGGGGAGCAAACAGGAUUAGAUACCCCGGUAGUC
rnacentral:rRNA from 1 species